rnacentral:ncRNA from 1 species
UGUUGCUACCCUGGUAAUCCUGCUCAGCAGGAGAGGAACCACAGGUUCAGACACUUGGUGUAUGUGCCUGGCUGAGGAGCCAGUGGGGUAAAGCUAAGUCUGUGGGGUUAUGACUGAAGGACUCUAAGUCAGAAUCCCGCCCAGGAGGAAGGACAUGGCAGCACCACAGAGCCUUUGGUGGCCUCCCAUAGCCAGUCCUCCGCUGUCCCCGUGCCAGGAACUGGGGUCUGCUGCAGAGAGCCCCUUGUCCUGGGAAACGGGCUGCUGCCAGAAAGGCGGUACCUGAUGCUAAACUACUCAUAGACGCCCUGCUUCUGGGUCAGGGUUUUCUAUGGAGCAGAGCAGCUUCCUGGCUGCAUCUAUUGAAGGUCAGACCUCCACACAAGGGUCU